GACGAACGCUGGCGGCGUGCCUAAUACAUGCAAGUGGGACGCAAGGGAACACACUGUGCUUGCACACCGUGUUUUCUUGAGUCGCGAACGGGUGAGUAACGCGUAGGUAACCUGCCUAUUAGCGGGGGAUAACUAUUGGAAACGAUAGCUAAUACCGCAUAAUAUUAAUUAUUGCAUGAUAAUUGAUUGAAAGAUGCAAGCGCAUCACUAGUAGAUGGACCUGCGUUGUAUUAGCUAGUUGGUAAGGUAAGAGCUUACCAAGGCGACGAUACAUAGCCGACCUGAGAGGGUGAUCGGCCACACUGGGACUGAGACACGGCCCAGACUCCUACGGGAGGCUGCAGUAGGGAAUCUUCGGCAAUGGACGAAAGUCUGACCGAGCAACGCCGCGUGAGUGAAGAAGGUUUUCGGAUCGUAAAGCUCUGUUGUAAGUCAAGAACGUGUGUGAGAGUGGAAAGUUCACACAGUGACGGAGCUACCAGAAAG
rnacentral:rRNA from 1 species